UCCACCGAUAAGAGUCUGGUGGAAUGAGAAAGCUAUUGCAGGUGGCUUAGUUCCUGUAAUGGGCCUCAACAUAGAGGCAAGUCUCUAGUGGAGGCAGUCCUAGGAGUCAGCAUUCAGCGAAGGAAUGGAGCAUAGGAGAAACUUAAGAGGGAUGAAUGUUCAAGUGUGAAGGGGGCAGAAGUGGCUUAAAUAUAUAUUUCCACUUGAUGUUUGUUAGGGGGAGCUUCAGGAGAGAGCCCUGUGAGCCCCUGCUCUGGAAGAAGGGUGAACUUUGAGAGACUUUGGUGCCUAGGAAGACAGAGAAGUCAUGGAGUGGGCACAAGAAUAUAGGUACACAGUGAGUCCAGGAAGAGGCUGUGGGGAAGAACUGCAGACAGGCUGAGACAGGAAGAAGCCCAGGCAAGAAGCUGAAGAGGGAGGGGGGAUAGUUUCUGAAUAGACAGACCUUGUUUGCUUACUACAGGGUUCCUGGGUUGAAACCAAGAGGAAAGGGAGGAAUUAGGUUUUCCUACAGGCCCACAGAGAUAGGUGGUGUGAAGACCCCAGUGGCUAGAGAUAGAAGGAUUAGUGAGUCUGUGAGGCCAGUGGACCUUUGUUUUUUGGGCUCUCUGAUAAGACUAUAAAGUGACUUGGCUGGAGGGCUGAGUCAGGAGAAGAAGCAGUCCAUUGCAGGGCUGGAGCAACUGUUAACAGGGGGACCACCAGAGAUGAGAAGUACUUGUUAUGCCAUGCCUUGCCAUGUGGGGAAACACCAGUGGGUUUUUUUGCCCAGCAGCAAAACUUGUUGUCAGGGAAGAAAUCUGCAGGCACGAGAGAAUCUAGUAAACAGAAUCUCUACGAAGGGGAGCCCAUCAGUAGCCCACUAACCACACUGCUGAGAAAUCCACAAUUUUAUACUACUGGAUCAGAUCCUGCUGCCACAAAACUCUACUUGUUCCUGGAUGUAAGCAGUAAAAUUACUUCUCUGUUUGUGGGUACUGGACACCCCAUGUUCCCUGGUGGCUGAUUCUUCACAUUAUUAACAGCUGUGUCUCAAGCAAUAGGACUUCCUACUUUUCUUGAUAUUCAACUAAAUUGGUGAUGGGAUCUUAGCAGGUUUGGCAGUCAGCUUGCUACUGUCUUCGAAUCUCACUGUUUCUGUGGCAUCCCUGCUGAAUAAGAGGCACACAAUGCAUUCUGAGGCAUCGAGAACUGAAAGAGCUACAGAGGAAGAUUAGAAGACAGCAAUUGUCCUCAAUUGAAACAAAGCCAGACCUGUUAAAGUUCCAAGCUCAAAAUAUCCAUAAAAGGGAAGGGGUACUGUAUAUGUCAUGGGUGAAUGAGAGGAAUGUAGAAUCCGAGUCACAGAUCCCCAGAUCCUCAAAGGUAUUUAGGUGCUUAACUCCCACUGUUUUCAAUGGCAGUUAAGUGAUGAAAUGCCGUUGAGGAUCUUGGCCUGAUUCCAGGACAGGGCAGUCAGCUAACUGUACUAAUGGUAUGAAGGGAUCAAGUCAGGGAGAGCACAGAGUGAUGAAAAUUGAUGUAUAUGGCUAGUAGAGAUGGUCAAAAAAUAGGAGAAGGGGUAGAACUGUAAACAUUUUGUUUCAAAGUUGUUGUUUUUUAAACAGAUUUUGAAAAUUGUUGCAAAAUAUUUUACCAAAAAUUUGGUAGUUUUCCUUCCCCAUCCCCCGUUACUUCUCCUCUUUCCAUUUUGCUACUGAAACGGGAAGAAGGUGAAGGCAGAGAAAGAAAUGGAGGGUGUUUUUGGCUGGAGAGAAAGACAUUUUAAUUGAAAACAAAGUUUUGCAAAAUAUUCAUUUUCAACAAAUGAAAACGUUAUUUCAUUUAGAAAAAAUAUGGCCAGCUCUACUGGUGAUAGUGGUAGACAAACCCUUCAACUGAGGGAGCUCAGGAAUUCUUAGGAAUCACUGAGAACUUUGAGGAAUUGGGCCCUCAGCUUGAACAGUACAAUUAAGCUGGUUGGCUUCACUUUCUGCUCAUAAUCAGUUUCAUAUUCUGAUUCUCAUGGACCAAUAUAAUCUGGCUUGGUUUGGGUUUUUUCUCAACAGGUUUAAAUUCAAGCAAAAUCCCCAUUUUUCCUGAAAUCAGUUCACAAACAUUUCUUGAAAAGUUUGUAUUCAGGUUUUGUGUUUAAAACAACUAAAAAAACUCAAUCUUGGGCCUAAACUACUUAGUGUCCCUUUAAAUCCCAACAUCAAUAUCUUGUGUAUUCAGCUUUACACGAAUGUAACAGACAUCAGAAGCUGUCCCUCCAUUCAUGAUUACCCAAAACCUUAUACAACAUUCCUCUCAUUGGCGAAAUGCUGUGACAAGAUCAAGUGAGCAUUGUAAAACACAUACAUAUAAAUGUACUAAAACCCUCAUUAAAGGUUAAGCAAGUCUCCCCCUCCUUGCAUAAAAAAAAUAAGGUCAUUCAUUUCCCUGGAAGUUUGGCAGAUAUUAGGUUUACAAAAUAGGUCAAACUUCCCAAGUUAUGGGCUUAUUUCUGAAUCAGCGUGGCCCAUCUCUAUAAAUAAUCAAAAACCCAUUUAUACUUCAUCUUUUUAGCAUUACCCUCAAUGAAAUGUUGUAUCCCCCCAAAUAAUUCAUUUCUUACCAUGUGAGGCUCAAUCCUGCUAGUUUGCCACACACACAUGGAGCUUGCAUUGGUCACAAUGGAGCGUUUGCAGUUUGGGGCUCAAGAAGUCACCUUACCAAUGGGCAUCGUUUUGUAAACCAGUAUGUGUGGUUUGGGUCUAGUUCUCCAAUGAGAACUAGCAAAACUUAGAAACUAGCAGGUUGACUCCUCU